CAGUGAAGAACAGACUGGCAGCCACUGAGACUGAAACUGCAGCACAAGAGGCAGAGCUGACAGCAGUGAAGAACAGACUGGCAGCCACUGAGACUGAAGUAGUGAAUCUG